rnacentral:sRNA from 1 species
AUGACACAAACAAGAGCUCAAGGAUGGUGGCUGGGGUUCAGUCUGCCGCUGCAAAUACCAAAAGCUGUCCUCAUUGAGUCAUCCCUCCCAGAGCAGGAAGAGCAGAGAUAAAACAGCAUGUAAGCAUCUCUGCAGUUGCUGUCCCCAGAGCCCACUUCCUGGAUAUUGCCAGCUGCCUGGACCAACCUUUCCGAAAGAUCAGCCAGGUCACAGUGAGGGUCAAAGCAGGAGGCCACUGGAGGCUCCAAGGGCUCUGAAAUGUUGAGAACUUCCCUGCAGGUACCAGCGAAGAGGGCAAGAACACAGCACUACUUCCUUGGAUACUGUUUCCCUCCUCAGAGGGGUUUUCUGAGCUGCCCUGGGUCCUGUGAGGAAGAUCUCCCCUUCCUGUAAAGACACCAGUCCUACUGGAUCAGGGCCCACCCGUGUGACUUCACUUUUACUUGAGUACCUCUCACAGACCCUAACUCCAAAUCAGGUCACUUGCUGAGGUACUGCAUGUGAAGACUUUGACAUUUGAAUUUUGAGGGGGCCACCGUUUAACCUGAACCACCAAGGACAGAGCCAAAGACCCUGGGUGACAGGCCCAGAACAGGACCUGGUGGAGGCUCUUCUUUAGGGGAGAGAGGGAAAUGGGAGCCACCACUGGCAGAGCCUGAAGGCAGGGCAGCCAGAAAGAAGCUGUGGGAGUCCCCACCAUGGAAGACCCUGCCGAGCAUCCUGUGUCUCCUGAAGCAGACCCUGACAUGAGGACUGGGGGCACGUGUUUAUUAAGGGCGAUCCCCGGAAGGAGGAGAUAACCAGGCAGAAGUCCUAGCAGAGUAUGCCCACGCUGGUUAGUGCUGCUGCAAAGAUGAGCCGAAGACCAUGAGAGACCUCCAGGUGGUCCUUCUGGGGAGAAGAAAUGGGUUUUGGCCCCAAAUCCUUCUGCUGCAUUUUUCCCCUAUCCCUGGGAAGCCAUGAGACCUCAAACCUGUGUUCCCAAGGAGGCGAGCUGCUGUUCCCAGGUGAUGAUAUGAUGUGCUUGGGGAAAGUAAGUGGCUGCCAGACAUGGCUGAGAGCUGUUGUCACUGCCGUCAAGUGCAUGUCUCCAAGCCAUAUCACACGGCGUCCCUCGAUGUGAGGCCACAUGGCAAGUGGGCCGUGGAUCUCCCUCUGCCCUUUGCAAGCACGUAAGACAGCAGAUUUUGCAGAUACCUUGUGGCGCAGGGGAAUUUCCUUUGGCCAGGUCUGAAGAAAUAAAGCAGCAGGCACCGAGAACAAAGCCAAGGCUUUCAAAAGACAAGGAGCCAAAAAACUUACUCAAAAUAAAAGUAGUUUUAAAAUG